rnacentral:piRNA from 1 species
UAUCACUUUGUCAAGGAUAGCCUUUCUCUU